rnacentral:snoRNA from 1 species
CUUGAUGAUGACGAAACAAAAACAAAGCUGGAAUUACUGGCUGAAUAUCCGUGUUGAUAAGUUUUUGCACCAUUACUGAGA